rnacentral:rRNA from 1 species
UACAGGGGGGGCAAGCGUUGUUCGGAAUUACUGGGCGUAAAGGGUCUGUAGGUGGCUUGCUAAGUCAGACGUGAAAUCCCUCAGCUUAACUGGGGAACUGCGUCCGAUACUGGAUGGCUUGAGUUUGGGAGAGGGAUGCGGAAUUCCAGGUGUAGCGGUGAAAUGCGUAGAUAUCUGGAGGAACACCGGUGGCGAAGGCGGCAUCCUGGACCAACACUGACACUGAGGAGCGAAAGCCAGGGGAGCAAACGGG